rnacentral:rRNA from 1 species
AUCCCACGCUGCCAAGAAAAGCUUCUAGCGUUAAUGUAUAAGUGCCCGUACUGUAAACCGACACAGGUGGUCAGAAUGAGAAAUUUAAGGCGGACAGGCUAACUCUCGCUAAGGAACUCUGCAAAAUGAAUCCGUAACUUCGGGAGAAGGAUUGCCCCUUUGUGUAGCGAGCUACGCGCUCAAAGCAUGAGGGGGUCGCAGUGAAGAGGCUCAGGCAACUGUUUAACAAAAACAUAGGUCUAUGCUAAGCUGUAAGGCGAUGUAUAUGGGCUGACACCUGCCCAGUGCCGGAAGGUUAAGAGGAGGAGUGAGAGCUCCGAAUUGAAGCCCCGGUGAACGGCGGCCGUAACUAUAACGGUCCUAAGGUAGCGAAAUUCCUUGUCGGGUAAGUUCCGACCUGCACGAAUGGUGUAAUGAUUUGAGCGCUGUCUUGACGGGAGGCCUGGUGAAAUUGUAUUACCGGUGAAGAUACCGGUUACCUACAGUAGGACGGAAAGACCCCAUGGAGCUUUACUGUAGCUUGGUAUUGGGUUUUGGCAUUGCAUGUAUAGGAUAGUUGGGAAACUAUGAUGGUGUGGCGCUAGCUGCACCGGAGUUGUCGGUGGAAUACCAACCAUUCAAUGUUGAAAUUCUAAUCUGUGGUUUGUAGCCACGGAGACAGUGCUAGGUGGGCAGUUUGACUGGGGCGGUCGCCUCCGAAAGAGUAACGGAGGCGUUCAAAGGUUCUCUCAGGUUGGAUGGAAAUCAACCGUAGAGUGCAAUGGCAUAAGAGAGCUUGACUGCGAGACUGACGGGUCGAGCAGGUGCGAAAGCAGGACAUAGUGAUCCGGCGAUUCCGAAUGGAAGGAUCGUCGCUCAACGGAUAAAAGCUACCCUGGGGAUAACAGGCUGAUCCUACCCGAGAGUCCAUAUCGACGGUAGGGUUUGGCACCUCGAUGUCGGCUCAUCGCAUCCUGGGGCUGGAGAAGGUCCCAAGGGUUGGGCUGUUCGCCCAUUAAAGCGGUACGUGAGCUGGGUUCAGAACGUCGUGAGACAGUUCGGUCCCUAUCCACUGUAGGCGUUAGAAUAUUGAGAAGAUCUGUCCUUAGUACGAGAGGACCGGGAUGGACAAACCUCUGAUGUACCAGUUGUCACGCCAGUGGCACAGCUGGGUAGUCACGUUUGGAACAGAUAACCGCUGAAAGCAUCUAAGCGGGAAACUGACUUCAAGAUAAGUAUUCUUUAAGACUCCUUCGAGCCUAGGAGGUUGAUAGGUUGGGGGUGUAAGGGCUGCGAGGCCUUUAGCUGACCAAUACUAAUAAGUCGAAGUUUUAACCUU